rnacentral:rRNA from 1 species
AUGUUUUGUUGUUUCUUUUACAGGAAGGCCGCCCCAGUCACAGUAGUUUCCAGACUUGCUGAUGUUGACGCUGCGCUUGAAGGUCUACAGAUCACUGAGAUGAAUCAACAUAAUCAGGUUCGAUUUCAAUUGGAUGAGCGAGCCCCCCUUCAAGAAGCAGCAAUGAUUGGUGAGAGGACCCGACCAGGAAGGCUUGGAUUCAUACUUGUGAAUCCAGAGUUGUUGGAGUGCAAGACUAAGACCAAGGGGGCAUUAGAGAGGGAGUUCAAAAACAUGCUUGCCGAAGCCCUUCAGCGGAUUGACCAGGAGAUGCUGGAAGUGGACGCAAGCACAUCAGUAUUGAAGGUCCGUGUGCUCAAGACUGAUGCUGAGGUGGAUCUGCUGGGACCUCACGGACCUCCACUUGACGAAAGAAACGCAGGAGUACAACACGUCAUCUAUCCAAAUCCUCCCUUUCCAGAAAAUCCUAGCUUUGAGCGUGGACCAGGCCAGAGAUUCCCCUAUCAAAGUGCAUAUGGUACACAAAAACAGACUGAUGCGGCUGCUCGUGACAGGCUUGCCCAGAGGUCCCUCUGGCGUGCCAAACUCGAGAUUCUGGAGAACAGGCAAUCCAUAUUGAAGGACAAGAGGUCUGAGACGAUGUCAAAGUUGACGGCGGUGUUCGAUAGAAUUAUGGCGGAACCAUCUCACUUGGGUGCUGGUUACGAGGAUCGUGCAUAUCCUCCAUUGGUCUAG